CCUACGGGUGGCAGCAGUGGGGAAUCUUGCACAAUGGGCGCAAGCCUGAUGCAGCCACGCCGCGUGGGUGAAGACGGCCUUCGGAUUGUAAAACCCUGUUGUUAGAGAAGAAAGUGCGUGAGAGUAACUGUUCACGUUUCGACGGUAUCUAACCAGAAAGCCACGGCUAACUACGUGCCAGCAGCCGCGGUAAUACGUAGGUGGCAAGCGUUAUCCGGAUUUAUUGGGCGUAAAGGGACCGCAGGCGGUUUUUUAAGUCUGAUGUGAAAGCCUUCGGCUUAACCGGAGUAGUGCAUUGGAGACUGGGAGACUUGAGUGCAGAAGAGGAGGGUGGAACUCCAGGUGUAGCGGUGAAAUGCGUAGAUAUAUGGAAGAACACCAGUGGCGAAGGCGGCUCUCUGGUCUGUAACUGACGCUGAGGUUCGAAAGCGUGGGUAGCAAACAGGAUUAGAUACCCGUGUAGUC
rnacentral:rRNA from 1 species